UUGACUAAGAACUGUCAUGACACAGGCUUCCCACCUGGGCUGCACUCUGAUCCCUGGCACAUCGUCUUGUCUCCAGAGAAAUGAAGUCACUGCAUUCUUUAAUGCCAUCAUCUCUUCCCUCAUUGAGAGUCUCAGCACGAUUUGAGAAGGGACUCUAGAUUCAGCAAAGGAAGAAAAGGCUGUCCCAGCUCCUCAAGCCUGCACCAACCCUGCCCAUCACUCCUGAGGACAGAGGCAUUCAAUGAUGACCUGAAUUCCCUGUCACAGGCCAUGGGGCUGCAUCGGGCUGUGUAUCUGUGCAUCAGGGCCACUCACACUGGAGGAUAAUAAGAAGCACUGGCAAGUGUGUCCUAUGUAUUUAUUUAUU